UAUGACGUUAGCGGCGGACGGGUGAGUAACACGUGGGCAACCUGCCUGUAAGACUGGGAUAACUUCGGGAAACCGAAGCUAAUACCGGAUAGGAUCUUCUCCUUCAUGGGAGAUGAUUGAAAGAUGGUUUCGGCUAUCACUUACAGAUGGGCCCGCGGUGCAUUAGCUAGUUGGUGAGGUAACGGCUCACCAAGGCAACGAUGCAUAGCCGACCUGAGAGGGUGAUCGGCCACACUGGGACUGAGACACGGCCCAGACUCCUACGGGAGGCAGCAGUAGGGAAUCUUCCGCAAUGGACGAAAGUCUGACGGAGCAACGCCGCGUGAGUGAUGAAGGCUUUCGGGUCGUAAAACUCUGUUGUUAGGGAAGAACAAGUACGAGAGUAACUGCUCGUACCUUGACGGUACCUAACCAGAAAGCCACGGCUAACUACGUGCCAGCAGCCGCGGUAAUACGUAGGUGGCAAGCGUUAUCCGGAAUUAUUGGGCGUAAAGCGCGCGCAGGCGGUUUCUUAAGUCUGAUGUGAAAGCCCACGGCUCAACCGUGGAGG
rnacentral:rRNA from 2 species